UACAGGGGGGGCAAGCGUUGUUCGGAAUUACUGGGCGUAAAGGGCUCGUAGGUGGCCAACUAAGUCAUACGUGAAAUCCCUCGGCUUAACCGGGGAACUGCGUCUGAUACUGGAUGGCUUGAGGUUGGGAGAGGGAUGCGGAAUUCCAGGUGUAGCGGUGAAAUGCGCAGAUAUCAGGAAGAACACCCGUGGCGAAAGCGGCUCUCUGGAACGGUACUGACGCUGAGACGCGAAAGCGUGGGGAGCGAACAGG
rnacentral:rRNA from 1 species